UGGGGAAUAUUUCACAAUGGGCGCAAGCCUGAUGCAGCCAUGCCGCGUGUAUGAAGAAGGCCUUCGGGUUGUAAAGUACUUUCAGCGGGGAGGAAGGGAGUAAAGUUAAUACCUUUGCUCAUUGACGUUACCCGCAGAAGAAGCACCGGCUAACUCCGUGCCAGCAGCCGCGGUAAUACGGAGGGUGCAAGCGUUAAUCGGAAUUACUGGGCGUAAAGCGCACGCAGGCGGUUUGUUAAGUCAGAUGUGAAAUCCCCGGGCUCAACCUGAGAACUAGAUCUGAGACUGGCAAGCAUGUGGCUCGUAGAGGGGGGUAGAAUUCCAGGUGUAGCGGUGAAAUGCGUGGAGAUCUGGAGAAAUACCGGUGGCGAAGGCGGCCACCUGGACGAAGACAGACGCUAAGGUGCGAAAGCGUGGGGAGCAAACAGG
rnacentral:rRNA from 1 species